rnacentral:rRNA from 1 species
UACGUAGGGUGCAAGCGUUGUCCGGAAUUAUUGGGCGUAAAGAGCUCGUAGGCGGUUUGUCGCGUCUGCUGUGAAAUCUGGGGGCUCAACCCCCAGCCUGCAGUGGGUACGGGCAGACUAGAGUGCGGUAGGGGAGAUUGGAAUUCCUGGUGUAGCGGUGGAAUGCGCAGAUAUCAGGAGGAACACCGGUGGCGAAGGCGGGUCUCUGGGCCGAUACUGACGCUGAGGAGCGAAAGCAUGGGUAGCGAACAGG